rnacentral:misc_RNA from 1 species
UCAAAACAGGGCUUCGGCCUCGCUGCACCCUUUCUUUGCGCACCGUACUGUUUCCUCGGCGGGCUUGCCUGCCGGUUGGACAACAUAAAACCUUUUGUAGUUGCAAUCAGCGUCAGAAAACAAUAAUUAUUA